CACAGAUGUGUGAUGGAGGUGCUCCAGUGGUGCAGAUGCUAUAACACAGAUGUGUGAUGGAGGUGCUCCAGUGGUGCAGAUGCUGUAACACAGAUGUGUGAUGGAGGUGCUCCAGUGGUGCGGAUGCUAUAACACAGAUGUGUGAUGGAGGUGCUCCAGUGGUGCAGAUGCUGUAACACAGAUGUGUGAUGGAGGUGCUCCAGUGGUGCAGAUGCUGUAACACAGAUGUGUGAUGGAGGUGCUCCAGUGGUGCAGAUGCUGUAACACAGAUGUGUGAUGGAGGUGCUCCAGUGGUGCGGAUGCUAUAACACAGAUGUGUGAUGGAGGUGCUCCAGUGGUGC